rnacentral:rRNA from 1 species
AGUGAACGCUGGCGGUAGGCCUAACACAUGCAAGUCGAACGGCAGCACAGGAGAGCUUGCUCUCUGGGUGGCGAGUGGCGGACGGGUGAGGAAUACAUCGGAAUCUACUCUGUCGUGGGGGAUAACGUAGGGAAACUCACGCUAAUACCGCAUACGACCUACGGGUGAAAGCAGGGGACCUUCGGGCCUUGCGCGAUUGAAUGAGCCGAUGUCGGAUUAGCUAGUUGGCGGGGUAAAGGCCCACCAAGGCGACGAUCCGUAGCUGGUCUGAGAGGAUGAUCAGCCACGCUGGAACUGAGAGACAGUCCAGACUCCUACGGGAGGCAGCAGUGGGGAAUAUUGGACAAUGGGCGCAAGCCUGAUCCAGCCAUACCGCGUGGGUGAAGAAGGCCUUCGGGUUGUAAAGCCCUUUUGUUGGGAAAGAAAUCCAGCUGGCUAAUACCCGGUUGGGAUGACGGUACCCAAAGAAUAAGCACCGGCUAACUUCGUGCCAGCAGCCGCCGUAA